CGGUAUGAGUAGCGCAAGACAGGUGAGAAUCCUGUCCACCGUAAGACUAAGGUUUCCAGGGGAAGGCUCGUCCGCCCUGGGUUAGUCGGGACCUAAGGAGAGACCGAAAGGUGUAUCCGAUGGCCAACAGGUUGAUAUUCCUGUACUAGAGUAUAUAGUGAUGGAGGGACGCAGUAGGCUAACUAAACCGGACGAUUGGAAGAGUCCGGCUAAGCAGUGAGGUGUAAGAUGAGUCAAAUGCUUAUCUUUAUAACAUUGAGCUGUGAUGGGGAGCGAAUUUUAGUAGCGAAGUUAGUGAUGUCACACUGCCAAGAAAAGCUUCUAGCGUUUAAUGAUACUCUACCCGUACC
rnacentral:rRNA from 1 species